AAAAAAAAAAAACCCCAAAUAAUGGAACAACAAAAAAACUGUGAAGGAUAGUGUCAUUGGGAGUGACAAGAGGGUCGUUUUUGAUGUCUUGAGGGGAUCCUAUCAGCAGGGGAUACAGAGAGACUCCCACUGACUUCAGCCUUCAUGCACACACGUAGAAGGAGAAACUAUGUAGCUGAUCCAGCCUGGAGACCACUGAUGACAGCCUGGAUGAUGGACACAGAUUUCAGAAAAGGAGACAAGCCAAAAGCAUUCACUUGAGAGUGACGUUUGAAGAG